rnacentral:rRNA from 1 species
AUUGAACGCUGGCGGCAGGCCUAACACAUGCAAGUCGAACGGUAACAGGAAACAGCUUGCUGUUUCGCUGACGAGUGGCGGACGGGUGAGUAAUGUCUGGGAAACUGCCUGAUGGAGGGGGAUAACUACUGGAAACGGUAGCUAAUACCGCAUAACGUCGCAAGACCAAAGAGGGGGACCUUCGGGCCUCUUGCCAUCGGAUGUGCCCAGAUGGGAUUAGCUAGUAGGUGGGGUAACGGCUCACCUAGGCGACGAUCCCUAGCUGGUCUGAGAGGAUGACCAGCCACACUGGAACUGAGACACGGUCCAGACUCCUACGGGAGGCAGCAGUGGGGAAUAUUGCACAAUGGGCGCAAGCCUGAUGCAGCUAUGCCGCGUGUAUGAAGAAGGCCUUCGGGUUGUAAAGUACUUUCAGCGGGGAGGAAGGGAGUAAAGUUAAUACCUUUACUCAUUGACGUUACCCGCAGAAGAAGCACCGGCUAACUCCGU